UCGGCGGCAUGAUUAAUAAACAACUCAGGCGAUUAGCAUCAAUUAGUAUGAAUUAAAGAGGAUUAACGGAUGGAUUAAGUAAACAUAUUAACAGUUGGGCCAUGGAGGUAUGAAAAACAAUGAGGGAGGCCCAUAUAGCCAACAACUUGGGUCUCAAUGCCCAAGAUUCUAGCUGUUCCAACCGGGUUUGGCCUCCUCUUCCUACACAUCAUGCCCAAAACAACAAAACGGAUCCAAAACAAAACAAGGCAAAAUGUGAAGCGUGUGAAUUGCGGCGAAGAAACGAAAUCGGCGAAGUUCGAUUCCUUACCUCGGAAAUCCCAAGUCCAACACUGAAGUCCCAAUCACGGCGCAAGUGCUUCGAGCUUCACCCUCAAACCAAAAAAACGAGACGCACCCCAACUCGACAUCUGAUCCAAUCUUCUGCCCGUGGUUGAUCAGGAUGAAGAGGUUUGUUUGGGUCCGUGCGUGGCGUUGUUUUCCGAAUGAAGAUGAAGAAUGAAGACACGUCGAUUUCACGAUGAUGGAUUACAAAGAGUUGUCAUUAUGAAGAAUCUGGAAAUUGUUGUGUGACGAGGUUUCGAAGAGUGAAGGUGAAUUGAAAGGGGUUGUGAGCUCUGUUAGAGGUGAUUAAAGAGUGGUUAGGAGAGGUUAUGCCAGUUAGAGUUCGGUGUAGUUAGAGCUGGUUUCGAUUGUAUUGAAAAAUCCUAAUGAAGUCAGAAAAAUGAAGUUAGUUCCAAGAUUUGGAAAUUGGAAGUUAAGGGUGGUUUUUGGUCCGUUUUGGUUGGCUGGAAUUAAUUGAAUUAUUAUGCAGAGUUAGAGGUUAGAAAUUCUGCUUAUAACAUGACUAUUGGAAGUUAAGGGAGUUAAGUUGUGAUUGUCACUGAAACAUGACUAUUGGUUUAUGGUUGUAAUGUUGUAGCGGAGAAUGGAUUGAAGCUUAGCGGAAAAUGGAUUGAAGCUUAGUUGUAUGUCGAAAUCAACUUGUAUUAACGGAAUUAGAUCGUAAUUGAAAUAUUUAUUCGGAUUGUUA